UGGGCGUUAAGUUGCAGGGUAUAGACCCGAAACCCGGUGAUCUAGCCAUGGGCAGGUUGAAGGUUGGGUAACACUAACUGGAGGACCGAACCGACUAAUGUUGAAAAAUUAGCGGAUGACCUGUGGCUGGGGGUGAAAGGCCAAUCAAACCGGGAGAUAGCUGGUUCUCCCCGAAAGCUAUUUAGGUAGCGCCUCGUGAAUUCAUCUCCGGGGGUAGAGCACUGUUUCGGCUAGGGGGCCAUCCCGGCUUACCAACCCGAUGCAAACUGCGAAUACCGGAGAAUGUUAUCACGGGAGACACACGGCGGGUGCUAACGUCCGUCGUGAAGAGGGAAACAACCCAGACCGCCAGCUAAGGUCCCAAAGUCAUGGUUAAGUGGGAAACGAUGUGGGAAGGCCCAGACAGCCAGGAUGUUGGCUUAGAAGCAGCCAUCAUUUAAAGAAAGCGUAAUAGCUCACUGGUCGAGUCGGCCUGCGCGGAAGAUGUAACGGGGCUAAACCAUGCACCGAAGCUGCGG
rnacentral:rRNA from 1 species